CCUACGGGGGGCAGCAGUGAGGAAUAUUGGUCAAUGGGCGCGAGCCUGAACCAGCCAAGUCGCGUGAGGGAAGACGGUCCUAUGGAUUGUAAACCUCUUUUGUCGGGGAGCAAAAGACGCCACGCGUGGCGUUCCGAGAGUACCCGACGAACAAGCAUCGGCUAACGCCGUGCCAGCAGCCGCGGUAAUACGGAGGAUGCGAGCGUUAUCCGGAUUUAUUGGGUUUAAAGGGUGAGCAGGCGGAAGAUCAAGUCAGCGGUAAAAUUGAGAGGUUCAAACUCUGCGAGCCGUUGAAACUGGUGUUCUUGAGUGAGUGAGAAGUAUGCGGAAUGCGUGGUGUAGCGGUGAAAUGCAUAGAUAUCACGCAGAACUCCGAUUGCGAAGGCAGCAUACCGGCGCUCAACUGACGCUCAUGCACGAAAGUGUGGGUAUCGAACAGGAUUAGAUACCCCUGUAGUC
rnacentral:rRNA from 1 species